UGAGAGGCCUACGUCCCACUUGGAAGAAUGGGCUACGAGAAUAUUGCUAGUCCAUUUAGAUCUAAGUACUAAUAAUCAAAGGGUUGGGCGCAGUCAGGUUGCUAGU